GACGAACGCUGGCGGCGUGCUUAACACAUGCAAGUCGAACGGUAAGGCCCUUCGGGGUACACGAGUGGCGAACGGGUGAGUAACACGUGGGUGAUCUGCCCUGCACUUCGGGAUAAGCCUGGGAAACUGGGUCUAAUACCGGAUAGGACCCUGGGAUGCAUGUCCUGGGGUGGAAAGCUUUUGCGGUGUGGGAUGGGCCCGCGGGCUAUCAGCUUGUUGGUGGGGUGAUGGCCUACCAAGGCGACGACGGGUAGCCGGCCGGAGAGGGUGACCGGCCACACUGGGACUGAGAUACGGCCCAGACUCCUACGGGAGGCAGCAGUGGGGAAUAUUGCACAAUGGGCGCAAGCCUGAUGCAGCGACGCCGCGUGAGGGAUGACGGCCUUCGGGUUGUAAACCUCUUUCAGCACCGACGAAGCGCAAGUGACGGUAGGUGCAGAAGAAGGACCGGCCAACUACGUGCCAGCCGCCGCAGUAA
rnacentral:rRNA from 1 species